UGCUGCUAGCAGAAAUUUGAUUUCUGUUUCGUGUUUAGCAUAGGAUGGUCAUGUUUUUACAUUUGACAAGGACUGCUGUUCUAUUUAUUUCAUAAAUAAAUUAGUUGCACGUGGUUUUAUAAUUGACAGUCUCUAUCACUUACAUAUCGAUGUGUCUGAGCAAGUAGUGAGUGCCAUAGGAUCCAAAAGAUCCAGAGAUGAGAUAAACCAGAAGUAUUUGUGGCACCUC
rnacentral:lncRNA from 1 species